GUGUAAUUGGAGAGAAAAAUGGGAUUUGUUGGGAUUUGGGUCAUGGAAUUCGGGAGAAAUGGGUUUUGGUGGGAUUUGGGUCAUAAACUGGGGAUAAAAAUAGGAUUUGUUGGGAUUUGGGUCGUUGAAUUGGAGAGAAGAUGGGAUUUGGUGGGAUUUGGGUCAUAUACUGGGGAGAAAAAUGGGAUUUGUUGGGAUUUGGGUUGUAGAAUUGGGGAGAAAAAUGGGAUUUGGUGGGAUUUGGGUCUUAAACUGGGGAUAAAAUGGGAUUUGGUUCGAUUUGGGUCAUAUACUGGGGAGAAAAAUGGGAUUUGUUGGGAUUUGGGUCGUAGAAUUGGGGAGAAAAAUGGGAUUUGUUGGGAUUUGGGUCAUGGAAUUGGGGAGAAAAAUGGGAUUUGUUGGGAUUUGAGUCUUAAACUGGGGAUAAAAUGGGAUUUGGUUCGAUUUGGGUCGUGGAAUUUGGGAGAAAAAUGGGAUUUGGUGGGAUUUGGGUCAU
rnacentral:lncRNA from 1 species